rnacentral:rRNA from 1 species
UACGUAGGGUGCAAGCGUUGUCCGGAAUUAUUGGGCGUAAAGAGCUCGUAGGCGGUUUGUUGCGUCGGCUGUGAAAUCCCGCGGCUCAACUGCGGGUCUGCAGUCGAUACGGGCAGGCUAGAGUUCGGUAGGGGAGACUGGAAUUCCUGGCGUAGCGGUGAAAUGCGCAGAUAUCAGGAGGAACACCGGUGGCGAAGGCGGGUCUCUGGGCCGAUACUGACGCUGAGGAGCGAAAGCGUGGGGAGCGAACAGG